rnacentral:rRNA from 1 species
GAUGAACGCUGGCGGCGUGCCUAAUACAUGCAAGUCGAGCGAACAGAUGAGGAGCUUGCUCCUCUGACGUUAGCGGCGGACGGGUGAGUAACACGUGGAUAACCUACCUAUAAGACUGGGAUAACUUCGGGAAACCGGAGCUAAUACCGGAUAAUAUAUUGAACCGCAUGGUUCAAUAGUGAAAGGCGGCUUUGCUGUCACUUAUAGAUGGAUCCGCGCCGCAUUAGCUAGUUGGUAAGGUAACGGCUUACCAAGGCAACGAUACGUAGCCGACCUGAGAGGGUGGAUCGCCACACCGGAACCGGGAACCGGUUCCAGAUUCCAAGGGAAGCAGCAGUUGGGAAUCUUCCGGAAUUGGCCAAAGCCCGACGGGGCCACGCCGCGGGAGUGAUUAAGGUCUUUGGAUCGGAAAACCCUUGUAUUAGGGAAAAAAAAAUGGGGAAGGUAAUAGGCAACACUUUAAGGUACCUAAUCAGAAAGGCAAGGGUAACCUACGU